GAUGAACGCUGGCGGCGUGCCUAAUACAUGCAAGUCGAGCGAACAGACGAGGAGCUUGCUCCUCUGACGUUAGCGGCGGACGGGUGAGUAACACGUGGAUAACCUACCUAUAAGACUGGGAUAACUUCGGGAAACCGGAGCUAAUACCGGAUAAUAUAUUGAACCGCAUGGUUCAAUAGUGAAAGACGGUUUUGCUGUCACUUAUAGAUGGAUCCGCGCCGCAUUAGCUAGUUGGUAAGGUAACGGCUUACCAAGGCAACGAUGCGUAGCCGACCUGAGAGAGUGAUCGGCCACACUGAAACUGAGACACGGUCCAGACUCCUACGGGAGGCAGCAGUAGGGAAUCUUCCGCAAUGGGCGAAAGCCUGACGGAGCAACGCCGCGUGAGUGAUGAAGGUCUUCGGAUCGUAAAACUCUGUUAUUAGGGAAGAACAAAUGUGUAAGUAACUAUGCACGUCUUGACGGUACCUAAUCAGAAAGCCACGGCUAACUACGUG
rnacentral:rRNA from 1 species